GUACUUGCUUCAGUAGCACAUAUACCAAAAUUAGAACGACACAUCCUCAUGGCCCCUGCAUAAGGAUGAUGAAAAUUCAUGAAGUGUUUCAUAUUUAA
ensembl:snRNA U6 U6 spliceosomal RNA